rnacentral:rRNA from 1 species
GACGAACGCUGGCGGUGUGCUUAACACAUGCAAGUCGAACGGUAAGGCCCUUUCGGGGGUACACGAGUGGCGAACGGGUGAGAAACACGUGAGUAACCUGCCCUCAUCUCUGGGAUAACAGUCGGAAACGGUUGCUAAUACUGGAUAUGAGCUUGCAAGGCAUCUUGUGGGUUGGAAAGAUUUUUUUGGUUGGGGUUGGACUCGCGGCCUAUCAGCUUGUUGGUGAGGUAGUGGCUCACCAAGGCUUCGACGGGUAGCCGGCCUGAGAGGGCGACCGGCCACAUUGGGACUGAGAUACGGCCCAAACUCCUACGGGAGGCAGCAGUGGGGAAUAUUGCACAAUGGACGGAAGUCUGAUGCAGCAACGCCGCGUGCGGGAUGACGGCCUUCGGGUUGUAAACCGCUUUCAAUUGUGACGAAGCUUUUUGUGACGGUAGCAGUAGAAGAAGCACCGGCUAACUACGUG